rnacentral:tRNA from 2 species
CGACGACUGGGGCGGCCCCGCCUACGCGCUGCUGCUGCUCGCGCUGCUGUCCCUGACCGCGCUGUGCGACGCGGUGCUCGCCGC